rnacentral:rRNA from 1 species
AUGUGCACAGUCGACAGAAAAUUAGGCAUCCUCCUCACGCCGCCCCUCUCCUUCCUCUCUCCCUUGCUGCACAUGGGAACCAGUCAGCCAGUGAAGCUCGAUUUCUCGCCGGAGAUGCUUGAUCCCUCGCCGGAAUCAGUCGAUUUCUCACCGGAAAUGCUUGAUCUCUCGCCGGAAUCGGUUGAUUUGUUGCUGGAUUGGUUGAAUCCUCGUCGGGGAGGAUGGAUCUUUGCUGGGGAGGUCAAAUCCUGGCUGGGGAGAUUGAUUUCCUACCUGAGAAACACGAUUUCUUGCCGGAGGACCUUUCUGGGCGCUUUUCUGAGCGCCUAG